rnacentral:rRNA from 1 species
AGUGAACGCUGGCGGUAGGCCUAACACAUGCAAGUCGAACGGCAGCACAGUAAGAGCUUGCUCUUACGGGUGGCGAGUGGCGGACGGGUGAGGAAUACAUCGGAAUCUACUUUUUCGUGGGGGAUAACGUAGGGAAACUUACGCUAAUACCGCAUACGACCUACGGGGGAAAGCAGGGGAUCUUCGGACCUUGCGCGAUUGAAUGAGCCGAUGUCGGAUUAGCUAGUUGGCGGGGUAAAGGCCCACCAAGGCGACGAUCCGUAGCUGGUCUGAGAGGAUGAUCAGCCACACUGGAACUGAGACACGGUCCAGACUCCUACGGGAGGCAGCAGUGGGGAAUAUUGGACAAAGGGCGCAAGCCUGAUCCAGCCAUACCGCGUGUGUGAAGAAGGCCUUCGGGUUGUAAAGCCCUUUUGUUGGGAAAGAAAAGCAGCAGGUUAAUACCCCGCUGUUCUGACGGUACCCAAAGAAUAAGCACCGGCUAACUUCGUG